AUGGCCCUCUACCGCGGCCUCGAGCUGCUCAAGAAGUUCAGUUCUCUGAAUAUAAAGGCCUUCACUAAGAUUCUCAAGAAAUUCGUCAAGGUGUCAGAGCAGCAGCGAGCAACGGACCUUUUCUCGCAGAAGGUGAAGACAUCGUCGUUCAGCACAUCCGACAAGGUGCUUCAGCUGUCGGACGAAGUGGAGUCACUCUUCCUGAAGCACUUCGCAGGCAACGACAGGAUGGUGGCCAUGAAGUACCUCAACCCGCAGCAGCGCAAGAGCACGCACAUGAUCACCUUCCUCGUAGGGUUGUUCACGGGCACAUUUGUGAGUCUGUUCAUCAUAUACACCAUCCUGGCACAUGCUUCUGGCAUUUUCGCCUCUGCCGGAGACACGGCCUACAAGGAACUAGUGUACCAUGUCUUCAGCAUGUUCGGGCUCAUCAGCCUGCACUGCUUCCUCUACGGAUGCAACCUGUUCAUGUGGAAGAGCACACGGAUCAACCAGAACUUCAUAUUCGACUUCAUGCCCAACACUGCCCUCACACACCGGGACGCCUUCCUCAUGUCCGCCUUCAUCAUGUGCACCGUUGUCACCGCGCUGGUCAUCAACCUCUUCCUCAUAGAUGCCGGUGUGUCCUACCCCAAUGCCGUGCCAGGGGCACUCAUAGUGUUGUCAGCUGGAGUUUUAUUCUGUCCGUUCAACGUGUUCUACCGGUCGACGCGCUACUGCUUCAUGCGCAUCAUGCGCAACAUCAUAUUCUCGCCAUUCUACAAGGUUCUGAUGGCCGAUUUCUUCAUGGCUGAUCAGUUAACUAGUCAGGUCCCAUUGUUAAGGCACAUGGAAUUUGCAGCGUGCUACUUCAUGGCAGGAAGCUUUAGGGCUAACCCAUAUGAGACUUGUACUAACAGCCAGCAGUACAAACAUCUGGCCUACGUGAUCUCUUUUCUCCCUUACUAUUGGAGAGCUAUGCAGUGUUUAAGAAGUUACCUGGAGGAACAUGACGUAGAUCAGCUCGCCCACGCCGGAAAGUACAUGUCGGCGAUGGUCGCGGCUGCUGUCAGGUUCAAAUACAAAGCAACACCGACGCCAUUCUGGGUGUGGAUGGUCCUCAUCUCGUCCACAGGCACCACCGCCUACCAGCUCUACUGGGACUUUGUCAAGGAUUGGGGCUUUUUCACUCCCAAAUCUAAAAACCUAUGGCUCCGGGAUGAUCUCAUCCUGAAGAACAAGUUCACCUACUACGUCUCCAUGAUGCUAAAUCUAGUGCUUCGGCUAUCAUGGACUAAAAGUGUGAUGAAGAUUCCUAUUAAUAAGAAUGAGACUCGCCUACUGGAUUUCUUCCGUGCCUCCUUGGAAAUAAUCCGACGAGGACAGUGGAAUUUCUACAGGAUGGAGAACGAACACUUGAACAAUGUUGGCAAGUUCAGAGCAGUGAAGACUGUCCCAUUGCCAUUUCAAGAACUCGAAAUGUAUUGA
rnacentral:rRNA from 1 species